GGCUGGUCCGAAGGUAGUGAGUUAUCUCACGUGAUUGUUCACAGUCAGUUACAGAUUGAACUCCCUGUUCUACUACUUUCCCCCCUCCUCACUACUGCACUUGACUAGUCUUAA
ensembl:misc_RNA Y_RNA Y RNA